UGGAUCGUCAUGCAAAGGAGGACACACCGACACACACACACAAUGCUGUGAUAUUAACACUGUAUCCGCCUGGGUUAUUGAGGUAACAACCACACAAGUUUAUUGUGAUCCAGCUUGGAAAUCCUUUAUCUUUCGGGCUUCAUUUUUCUCCUACAGACUGUUGGCCCUAACAUCAGAGACGAUGACAGAGAUAUGUCUAUACCUGGACUGCUUCUCCGAGGAGAGGAAACUGUACACGGCAGAAUCACUGAACGACCUCCACAAGGUGAACGUGUGCUCCGACCCCAAGGACCUGCUGAAACUCAUAGGCUGCCUGGGUGGUGUGAUGCAGCUGGUAAAUGGACACAGUACUGUUGGCAUCGAAGAGGAGAGCGUUAAGACACUACACACCAGUGAGGAAGAGGAGGGCACUAAAACAUCACACACUCACCCUCGACCCAGACUGUUCCCUCAUCCUCUUCAUCCUCCUGACUUUGGCUCUGCUGCUGACCCUGGUGCUGUCUGCCUACGUUGUCUAUCUCAUGGUUGUGACAACAUCUUGGAUGGGUGAGUUAGCAGGUGGUGGUGAGGUGGAGAUGACUUACCUGGAGGAGAUUGGACAGUGGAAGACUCUCCUUCAACAGUGCCUGGACCUCAGCCAGAGCCGCUGCUCAUAGCGAGAUAUACAAUUGAGAGAAUCCUGUUGGGCUGAAUCACCGCCUGGUACGGCAACUGCACCGCCCACAACUACAGGGCUCUCCGGAGGGUGGUGCGGUCUGCCCAACGCAUCACCGGGGGCAAACUACCUGCCCUCCAAGACACCUAAGGCACCCAGUGUCAUAGGAAGGCCAAAAAGAUCAUCAAGGACAACAACCACCCGAGCCACUGCCUGUUCACCCCGCAAUCAUCCAGAAGGCGAGAUACAGGAGGCCAGGGUGCAUUGGAAGACACCUGUGAGUGAGCAGCACGAGCCAGCUAGCGCUCUGGCAGUGGAGCCAACGCCUCAGCGGGAACCCGACUUUAUCUCCUCUUUAGAAACAUUUCCUAGGAGCCCAAAACACAGCCAACCUGACAGAAAGGGAGAGAUACAGGGCCAAUACUGGAGUUUACUUACAUCAUGUGCUGAACACCCUUUCAUUCCCUUAAUAUGCUGCAGUCACAGCAAGGACACAAAUUAGAUGAGCUCUGGUAUGUCUCCACACCGCAUGCCACGGAGGAUGACAGAUAUUCUCAUGGGAAAU
rnacentral:lncRNA from 1 species